UGCUGUGAUGGUUGACGAUGUUUUUCCUUUAGUGCUCCUUUUCUCUCAAGAUGUGGUGGUCGUCAAUGUUUUUCUUCCGCGAUCGAUGUUGAUCCAUUCUAGCAGCGACUUAUUAGAGUUUCUCUUUUUUGGAAUUUGAAAUUUGAUUUUUGGUGUUGUUGGGUGGGUGGGGAUUCCCUUUCACUCUUGUUUUUAUGUACUCUCUUUCUUUAAUAAAUUUUGGUGACUAUGUACUAUGUGCAGUAUUCUCCUUUUGUAUUAAAAAAAAACCUUUGUUUUCCAUGAAUGAUUAAUUUCUGCUUGCAAUUGCUAAAAUGUGGGAUUUAGAUGUUUGAUAUCUCUUCCUGCUGCCUUGCUCGCAAGAUUUCAUGGUGAGCCUUUCUCUUUCAUGAAGCUGUCUUAGGUUGGAAACUGAUACAAAUAUAAAGGUUUAUGCCAGGUUGAGAGCAGGUUUUGAGACAUUUCUGUAAUUUGAAUAUAUCUUGAUUCAUGUAGUGUAAACCCAUAUGGAUGGAACAUGGCCUGUAUUCAUAUAGUGUAAACCCACACCACACAAAGUACCACAGGUUUCCUAUUUUUGACCGUGCUAGUAAAUUGGUAUGCAACUUGAACCU
rnacentral:lncRNA from 1 species